GAUGAACGCUGGCGGCGUGCCUAAUACAUGCAAGUCGAGCGAACAGACGAGGAGCUUGCUCCUCUUACGUUAGCGGCGGACGGGAGAGUAACACGUGGAUAACCUACCUAUAAGACUGGGAUAACUUCGGGAAACCUGAGCUAUUACCGGAUAAUAUAUUGAACCGCAUGGGUCAAUAGUGUAAGGCGGGUUUGCGGUCACUGAUAGAUGGAUUCGCGCCGCAUUAGAUAGUUGGUAAGGUAACGGCUUACCAAGGCAACUAUGCGUAGACGACCUGAGAGGGUGAUCGGCCACACUGGAACUUGGACACCGUCCCGGCGACUACGGGAGGCAGCAGAAUGGUAUGGUCCGCAAUAGGCGGAAGCCUGACGGAGCGACGCCGCGUGAGUGGUGAAGGUCUUCCGAUCGUGAAGCUCUGUUACUAGGGAAGAACCAAUGUCUAAGGAACCAUGCACGUCUUGACGGUACCUAAAGAAGAAGCCACGGCUAACUACGUG
rnacentral:rRNA from 1 species